GGGAGAGAACAAAGUGACAUACUUAAACCCUGAAGCAGAUCGUGCCUGAGGCUACCUUUGCCCAUAAACAAUUCCAGAGACAAGAUCUCCCUCUGGAACCCGGGCUGGAAUACAGUGGCACACUCAUACCUCACUGCAGCCUUGAACUCCUGGGCUCAAGCGAUUCUCCCACCUCAGCUUCCUGAACAGCUGGGAAUACAGGCGCACCUCACCACACCCAGCUUCAGUCAGCCUGUUCUUGAUGCCUGGAGUCCCUUAUUAGAGAACUUCUCUGGUUUCCUAAAUAUUGUUCCUUAUUUAAAAUGCAACUUAGCACCUCCAGAAGUGUCUGUAGUGCUCUCUUGUCCCCAUAAAUGAGUUAGUUGUGUUCCAAGAUGCAUUCUACCAUGGGCUGAGUGUCCUGGGUUUCUCAAGACGUAUAUUUCAAUGUUAGGGCAUAUGUACACAGGCAGUUUUGGU
rnacentral:lncRNA from 1 species